CCAGUUCUAAUAUUAGUGUGAUGGGAAAGGCUGUCAUCCACAUCAGUAGCAUGCAGGAGUGGCAGUCAAGCAGGCUCCAUCCUAAAUCCUAGAAAUGCUCAAGAAGCACAAUCCCCAAAGACUUAAAUAUCUACCUUUUCAACUGCAGCAUUCACAAAGAGAGGGAACAAGGGAGUGAUCAAAUGAUAGAGCAUGCAAAAUGUCUGAUGUGAGCAAGAAGCAGCUCACAAGAGGUGAAGGAGUUUGGGCUAGAUUCAUAGCCAGGAUGAAAGGCAACAGUAGGAGACUGACCCAAACAGCCAUAUAUCUCAACUACUUCUUAUAAUUUUGAGCAAGGCUAAUGGGCAAUCUUACAUCCAAAGACAGAGCGAAGAUAAGGUAAGGAAAGGGACUACCAGAAAAUGUAGUUGAAUGAAUAUGGGAGGAAUGUCCAAACAGAGGAGACAAAGUGCAGAGAAAAGCACCCCAAAUACCAUGAUGAAGAAAAACAAACAAAGCAAGUGAAGUAAUGAGAUCAAUAAAGCAAGAGGGCAUUCAGGAGGUGGGGUUUUACAUAUAAAUGAGCUCCAUACAACACAAAAUGCAAACUCUUCCAGCUGCUCAAGGAUCUGCUGGAUGGGAUCUCUCAGGAAACUGUCUGUUAGGACAUAGGAAUGGAGCAUAGCUGGCAGCUCUUUAAGGACACCCUCCUGUGAACACAAGAGCUCUCCAUCCCCCAGCAGAAGAAAUUGAGCAGAGGCGGCAGGCAACCAGCAUGGCUAAUCAAGGACCUGCAGCUUAAACUGAGGGAAAAUAGAGAAAUAUACAGGAACUCGAAGCCCCAAAGUCCCCCAAAGGUUGGUCCUGGGACCCAUGCUCUUCAACAUCUUCAUCAAUGACACAAACAGUGGAAUCAAGUGUACCCUCAGCAGGUUUGCAGAUGACACCAAGCUGAGCAGUGCAGCCAAUACACUAGAGAGAAGGGAAGCCAUCCAGAAGGACCUGGACAGGCUGGAAAAGUGGGCCCAUGUCAAACUAAUGAAUUUCAACAAGGACAUGUGCAAGGUGUUGGCAUGCAGCAAUCCCAGGCAGAAAGAAGAGAUGGGCAACAGGAGUCCUCUCUCCAACCAGCAAGUGAACAUCUGGGAGUGGUUUGUACAAGAUCUCCUUCCUGAGAGGACGCUCUGGCUGG
ensembl:lncRNA